rnacentral:rRNA from 1 species
CGCUAGCGGCAGGCUUAACACAUGCAAGUCGAGGGGCAGCAUGAGACGGAGAUUCGUCGAAGUCUUGAUGGCGACCGGCGCAAGGGUGCGUAACGCGUGAGCAACUUGCCCGUUUCAGGGGGAUAACCGUUGGAAACGACGACUAAUACCCCAUGGCAUCAUAAGGAGGCAUCUCCAUAUGAUUAAAGAAAUUCGGAAACGGAUAGGCUCGCGUGACAUUAGAUAGAUGGCGGGGUAACGGCCCACCAUGUCGACGAUGUCUAGGGGUUCUGAGAGGAAGGUCCCCCACACUGGAACUGAGACACGGUCCAGACUCCUACGGGAGGCAGCAGUGAGGAAUAUUGGUCAAUGGUCUGACGACUGAACCAGCCAUGCCGCGUGAAGGUGACGGCCCUAUGGGUCUUAAACUUCUUUUGCAAGGGAGCAAUAAGGUCUACGUGUGGACCGAUGAGAGUACCUUGCGAAUAAGCAUCGGCUAACUCCGUCCCAGCAGCCCGCGGUAAUACGGGGGAAGGCGAGCGUUAUCCGGAUUAUUGGGGUUAAAAGGGUGCGUAGGCGGUCUUUUAAGUCAGCGGUGAAAUUUAGGGGCUCAACCUCUACCGUGCCGUUGAUACUGGGAGGCUGGAAUGCGGAUGCCGUGGGAGGAAUGUGUGGUGUAGCGGUGAAAUGCAUAGAUAUCACACAGAACACCGAUUGCGAAGGCAUCUCACGAAUCCGCAAUUGACGCUCAUGCACGAAAGCGUGGGGAUCGAACAGGAUUAGAUACCCUGGUAGUCCACGCAGUAAACGAUGAAGGCUAGCUAUUGGCGAUAUACAGUCAGUGGCUAAGGGAAACCGAUAAGCCUUCCACCUGGGGAGUACGCCGGCAACGGUGAAACUCAGAGGAAUUGACGGGGGCCCGCACAAGCGGAGGAACAUGUGGUUUAAUUCGAUGAUACGCGAGGAACCUUACCCGGGCUUGAAAGUUAGUGCCGGACCUGGAAACAGGUCCUUCCGCAAGGACACGAAACUAGGUGCUGCAUGGUUGUCGUCAGCUCGUGCCGUGAGGUGUCGGCUCAAGUGCCAUAACGAGCGCAACCCUUGUCGCCAGUUGCCAUCAUUAGGUUGGGGACUCUGGCGAGACUGCCGCCGCAAGGUGAGAGGAAGGGGGGGAUGACGUCAAAUCAGCACGGCCCUUACGUCCGGGGCGACACACGUGUUACAAUGGUAGGUACAGCGGGAAGCCAUAUGGCGACAUAGAGCAGAACCCGAAAACCUAUCUCAGUUCGGAUUGGAGUCUGCAACUCGACUCCAUGAAGCUGGAUUCGCUAGUAAUCGCGCAUCAGCCACGGCGCGGUGAAUACGUUCCCGGGCCUUGU